AACUUUUCGGAGGGAAGAUGUUAGUGACUGAGUGGCGGACGGGUGAGUAACGCGUGGGUAACCUGCCUUGUACAGGGGGAUAACAGUUAGAAAUGACUGCUAAUACCGCAUAAGCGCACAGGAUUGCAUGAUCUGGUGUGAAAAACUCCGGUGGUAUAAGAUGGACCCGCGUCUGAUUAGCUUGUUGGCGGGGUAACGGCCCACCAAGGCGAUGAUCAGUAGCCGGCCUGAGAGGGUGAACGGCCACAUUGGGACUGAGACACGGCCCAAACUCC
rnacentral:rRNA from 1 species